AUAGUUUCCAGUUUUUGCUGUUAUGAAUAAAGCUACUAUAAACAUUCAUGUACAGGUUUUUGUAUUAAUGCAAGUCUUCAUUUCUUUGGAAGAGAUGACUGAAGUUCAAUUACUGGGUUACGUGGUAGUUGCAUAUUUCUUUUUUAAAGAAACUGCCAAACUGUUUUUCAGAGCAUCUGUAUCAUUUUAUAUUCUCACCAGCAACGUAUCAAUGACCUAGUUUCUCUACAUCCUUUCUAGCCUUAAUUGUCUUUGUUUUUUUAUUUUACUUUGUUUGUUUGUUUUGAGACAGGGUCUUUCUCUGUUGCCCAGGCUGGAAUUCAGUAGUGUAAUCAAGGCUCACUGAAGCCUGACCUCCCGGCUGAAGUGAACUGCCCACCUCAGUGCUGGAAGUAGGGUGGGGCGUCAGCCACCAGUAGCAGGACUGUAGGCAUCUGCCACCAUGCCUGGCUGAUUUCUCUUUUUUCUUUUUGCAGAGAUGGGGUUUUACUAUGUUGGAGAAGCUGGUCUCAAACUCCUGGGCUCAAGUCAUCCUCCCGCCUCAGCCUCCCAAAGUGCUGAGAUUACAGACGUGUGCCUGGCCUAUUUUACUCGUUUUAAUAGAUGUAAGUUUGUUUCAAUUUAGGAUUUUUAAGACAGAGAGCACACUUUCAAUGAUUAGGAGAGACAAAGAUGGAAAUAAAGAUUUUAUUACUUACAGGUUGAGGGCUCAUGACACUCCUGGUGGCCAUAUACGCAGAGGUCAGGGAGAGAAAGGGACCUGUGGGCCAGCACCCUUAUUGGGUCCAGAGAGCUAUCCAAACAAGUUUCCAGCAGGGAAUUUAAUUGGUGGAUUUAAAGCAAGCAGGCAUGAGUUCCAGGGGGCCACACUGACUGAGGUGCUGCAAACACACGCAUCACUACUAAUAUCCCACUUCAGUGCUAUUGCUGCUCCCAAAACUCCAGGUAUUUUUAACCUU
rnacentral:lncRNA from 1 species